rnacentral:rRNA from 1 species
AGAACGAACGCUGGCGGCGUGGAUAAGACAUGCAAGUCGAGCGAGAUUUUUCGUUGUAGCAAUACGAUGGAAAGUCUAGCGGCGAACGGGUGCUUAACACGUGGGCAACCUGCCAUGAAGUGGGGGAUAGAUCGCCGAAAGGCGAAUUAAUACCGCAUGUGAUUAGAGAGGACAUCCUUUCGAAAUUAAAGUCGGGGCAACCUGACGCUUCUUGUGGGGCCCGCGGCCUAUCAGCUAGUUGGUGAGGUAACGGCUCACCAAGGCUUUGACGGGUAGCUGGUCUGAGAGGACGACCAGCCACACUGGGACUGAGACACGGCCCAGACACCUACGGGUGGCAGCAGUCGAGAAUUUUUGACAAUGGGGGAAACCCUGAUCGAGCCAUGCCGCGUGGAUGAUGAAGGCCUUAGGGUUGUAAAGUCCUUUUAACGGGGAAGAUAAUGACGGUACCCGUAGAAUAAGCCCGGCUAACUUCGUGCCAGCAGCCGCGGU